AUUCAUCACAACAUAAGCGAAAACAACUCACCAAAACAUAGAAAAUCUUUUCAUCAAAUUUUGCAAUGAGGUCUGCUACAUUGUUUGUGAUCUCUUGUGUUCUCAUGUUCUUUGUUAUCCACCAUGCUAAAGUUGAGGCGAGAAAACUACAUGCACCUCAACUUGUUUACAUUGCUCAUGGAUGGGAUUGUGGUCCUGAAGGAUGGGCACGAUGCCUAGCAGAUAUUGCAGAUGAUAAUAAAGAUCAUUGGUACACUCGUUGCAGCUGCUCAAAUGUUCCCGAGGGACAUAUGUGUAAUUGUUUUCAUUAACUAUCUUUGAUAUGAUUUACUGUAUCUCCAUAACUAAAAUAUUUAUAUAAUCAUAUAUAUAUAUAAUAAUGGUUUCACUCUCUC